rnacentral:rRNA from 1 species
GAUGAACGCUAGCUACAGGCUUAACACAUGCAAGUCGCGGGGCAGCAUGGGGGUUGCUUGCAACUCCCGAUGGCGACCGGCGCACGGGUGAGUAACGCGUAUCCAACCUGCCCUUCACCACGGGAUAACCCGGCGAAAGUCGGACUAAUACCGUAUGUUGUCCAUUGACGGCAUCCGAUUUGGACGAAAGGCUUUGCGGUGAAGGAGGGGGAUGCGUCCGAUUAGCCAGACGGCGGGGUAACGGCCCACCGUGGCUACGGUCGGUAGGGGUUCUGAGAGGAAGGUCCCCCACACUGGAACUGGGACACGGUCCAGACUCCUACGGGAGGCAGCAGUGAGGAAUAUUGGUCAAUGGGCGUAAGCCUGAACCAGCCAAGUAGCGUGCAGGAUGACGGCCCUAUGGGUUGUAAACUGCUUUUAUGCGGGGAUAAAGUGGCCCACGGGUGGGCUUUUGCAGGUACCGCAUGAAUAAGGACCGGCUAAUUCCGUG